rnacentral:miRNA from 14 species
AUGGUUUUGUUGGAGGGAAGUAUGUCACUGGGGAUGGGCUUUGAGGUUUUCAGAAGCUCAGUCCAGGCCUAGUGUCAUUCUUCCUUCCUGUUGCCUGCUGAUGC